rnacentral:rRNA from 1 species
AUUGAACGCUAGCGGGAUGCUUUACACAUGCAAGUCGAACGAGAGGCGGACGGGUGAGUAAUAUAUCGGAACGUGCGCAGUAGCGGGGGAUAACUACGCGAAAGAGUGGCUAAUGCCGCAUACUGUUGUAUCGGCCGUUAUCGGAUUAGCUAGUUGGUGGGGUAAAGGCUCACCAAGGGAACGAUCCGUAGCUGGUUUGAGAGGACGACCAGCCACACUGGGACUGAGACACGGCCCAGACUCCUACGGGAGGCAGCAGUGGGGAAUUUUGGACAAUGGGGGAAACCCUGAUCCAGCCAUCCCGCGUGUAUGAGAAGGCCUUCGGGUUGUAAAGUACUUUUGGCAGAGAAGCGGUAUCUGCAGAAUAAGCACCGGCUAACUACGUGCCAGCCGCCGCGGUAAUUC